AGCAGCCGCGGUAAUUCCAGCUCCAAUAGCGUAUAUUAAAGUUGUUGCAGUUAAAAAGCUCGUAGUUGAAUUUCGGGGUCGGUAGGUUGGUCAUGCCUCAGGUAUGCACUGGUCUCACUGAUUCCUCCUUCCUGAUGAGCCGUAAUGCCAUUAAUUUGGUGUUGCGAGGAAUCUGGACUGUUACUUUGAAAAAAUUAGAGUGUUUAAAGCAAGCUAACGCUUGAAUACAUUAGCAUGGAAUAAUGGAAUAGGACGUUCGAUCCUAUUUUGUUGGUUUCUAGGAUUGACGUAAUGAUUAAUAGGGAUAGUUGGGGGCAUUAGUAUUCAAUUGUCAGAGGUGAAAUUCUUGGAUUUAUUGAAGACUAACUACUGCGAAAGCAUUUGCCAAGGAUGUUUUCAUUAAUCAAGAACGAAAGUUAGGGGAUCGAAGACGAUCAGAUACCGUCGUAGUCUUAACCAUAAACUAUGCCGACUAGGGAUCGGAUGAUGUUAAUUUUUAAUGACUCAUUC
rnacentral:rRNA from 1 species